UGAAUACGAGACGCUAAGGCGUCGAAGUAGUGUAUGUCAUACUUCCAAGAAAAGCUUGCACUGUCAUAGAUAAAAAGCGCUUGUACCAUAACCGACACAGGUGGGUAGGUAGAGUAUACUAAGGGGCGCGAGAUAACUCUCUCUAAGGAACUCGGCAAAAUAACUCCGUAACUUCGGGAGAAGGAGUGCCUUAUUCGUAAGGUUGCAAUAACAAGAUCCAAGCAACUGUUUAUCAAAAACACAGGUCUCCGCUAAGUCGUAAGACGAUGUAUGGGGGCUGACGCCUGCCCAGUGCCAGAAGGUUAAAGAAGUUGGUUAGCAAUUGCGAAGCUGAUAACUGAAGCCCUGGUGAACGGCGGCCGUAACAAUAACGGUCCUAAGGUAGCGAAAUUCCUUGUCGAGUAAGUUCCGACCCGCACGAAAGGCGUAAUGAUUUGGAUACUGUCUCGGAGAGGGGCUCGGUGAAAUAGACUUGUCUGUGAAGAUGCGGACUACCUGCACCAGGACAGAAAGACCCUAUGAAGCUUUACUGUAACUUGAAAUUGAAAUUGGACUUUAUUCGCGCAGUAUAGGUGGGAGGCGUUGAUUAUAAUCUUGUGGGAUUAUUGGAGCCAUCAGUGAGAUACCACUCUUGUAAUGUUAGAUUUCUAACUUUGAAUCAUUAUCUGGUCAAAGAACAGUUUCAGGCGGGCAGUUUGACUGGGGCGGUCGCCUCCUAAACGGUAACGGAGGCGUACAAAGGUUUCCUCUGAACGGUUAGAAAUCGUAUCUAGAGUGUAAAGGCAUAAGGAAGCUUGACUGUGAGACCUACAAGUCGAGCAGGGACGAAAGUCGGUCUUAGUGAUCUGACGGUACUGAGUGGAAAGGCCGUCACUCAACGGAUAAAAGUUACUCUAGGAUAACAGGCUGAUCUCCCCCAAGAGUUCACAUCGACGGGGAGGUUUGGCACCUCGAUGUCGGCUCAUCGCAUCCUGGGGCGGUAGUACGUCCCAAGGGUUGGGCUGUUCGCCCAUGAAAGCGGUACGCGAGCUGGGUUCAGAACGUCGUGAGACAGUUCGGUCCAUAUCCGGUGUAGGCGUUAGAAUAUUGAGAGGAGCCUUCUUUAGUACGAGAGGACCGAGAAGGACAUACCUCUGGUGUACCAGUUAUCGUGCCAACGGUAAACGCUGGGUAGCUAUGUAUGGAGUGGAUAACCGCUGAAAGCAUCUAAGUGGGAAGCCCACCUCAAGAUAAG
rnacentral:rRNA from 1 species